rnacentral:rRNA from 1 species
UGGGGAAUCUUGCACAAUGGGGGCAACCCUGAUGCAGCGACGCCGCGUGAGCGAUGAAGGUUUUCGAAUCGUAAAGCUCUGUCCUAUGGGAAGAUAAUGACGGUACCAUAGGAGGAAGCCCCGGCUAACUACGUGCCAGCAGCCGCGGUAAUACGUAGGGGGCGAGCGUUGUCCGGAAUUACUGGGCGUAAAGGGUUCGCAGGCGGCAUGUCAAGUCCGAUGUAAAAGGCGAAGGCUCAACCUUCGUAAGCAUCGGAAACUGUCAAGCUUGAGUGAAGGAGAGGCAAGUGGAAUUCCUAGUGUAGCGGUGAAAUGCGUAGAGAUUAGGAAGAACACCGGUGGCGAAGGCGACUUUCUGGACGAAAACUGACGCUGAGGCGCGAAAGCGUGGGGAGCAAACAGG